GGGGAAUUUUGGACAAUGGGCGCAAGCCUGAUCCAGCCAUGCCGCGUGAGUGAAGAAGGCCUUCGGGUUGUAAAGCUCUUUCGGUGAAGACGAAACGGUUAGCGUUAAUAACGCUGACUAAUGACGGUACUCACAGAGGAAGCACCGGCUAACUACGUGCCAGCAGCCGCGGUAAUACGUAGGGUGCAGGCGUUAAUCGGAAUUACUGGGCGUAAAGCGUGCGCAGGCGGUUUGCUAAGACAGGUGUGAAAUCCCCGGGCUUAACCUGGGAAUUGCGCUUGUAACUGGCAAGCUAGAGUGUGGCAGAGGGGGGUGGAAUUCCACGUGUAGCAGUGAAAUGCGUAGAUAUGUGGAGGAACACCGAUGGCGAAGGCAGCCCCCUGGGUUAACACUGACGCUCAGGCACGAAAGCGUGGGGAGCAAAC
rnacentral:rRNA from 1 species